UACGUAGGGUGCAAGCGUUGUCCGGAAUUAUUGGGCGUAAAGAGCUCGUAGGCGGUCUGUCGCGUCGGAUGUGAAACCCAGGGCUCAACCCUGGGCCCUGCAUUCGAUACGGGCAGACUAGAGUUCGGUAGGGGAGACUGGAAUUCCUGGUGUAGCGGUGAAAUGCGCAGAUAUCAGGAGGAACACCGGUGGCGAAGGCGGUUCUCUGGGCCUGUACUGACGCUGAGGAGCGAAAGCGUGGGGAGCGAACAGG
rnacentral:rRNA from 1 species